UUAGUUAAAGCCAAAAGGAGAGGCGUAUUACUGUUAAUAAUAUGAUUGGGAAGUUCCCUAACU
rnacentral:tRNA from 1 species